GAUCGAAAGGCUAGAAGAUGGCUCCAUUUUAGUUUGAUCUUUACUUGGACAAUAACUGAGAUAUGCAUUUCAUAUUAAGAGUUUUUUUAGGAGUUAAAGAAUGGAUAUAGACAAUGGAAUUAUAUUCUUGGUGCAAAAAAAGUAGAAAGUGAUGUCGUUAUUAGUGAUUGUGUUGCUUUAAACUGUGGAUUAAAAUCAAAUGUGUGUUCAGAUAUAUUCGAUUUCAUUGUGGAUUACAAAAAAGGAUAUAGUUCUAGCAGCUAAUAAUGAUUUUCCAUGUCGCAGCCAGCAGAGCAAUUCCAUUGAAGAUGGUUAAAGAAAUCUUCAACCAAGUCAGAAAUUACUCUACAGCUUUAUCUAGAAAAUAAGGGAGACAAGUUUAUCUAAGCCUUACAAUUUCUAUACAUGUACCAGGUAUAUCAACAAGAUUUACUAUUAAAAGUAUAAAAAGUAAGCCUGCAGAUUGGAAUAUUACAUCCAAGGGGAAACAAUUUCAACAAAGAUUUGUUAUUUCAAUAAGAGAUAUUAACUCAGUAAAAUAUUGAGAUUUUUGUGCAGUUGAAAUUCAAGUCAUUAUUCUUUUACUACUUUUUUGUAUAUACAUCGUU